rnacentral:rRNA from 1 species
GACGAACGCUGGCGGCGUGCUUAACACAUGCAAGUCGAACGGAAAGGCCCUGCUUUUGUGGGGUGCUCGAGUGGCGAACGGGUGAGUAACACGUGAGUAACCUGCCCUUGACUUUGGGAUAACUUCAGGAAACUGGGGCUAAUACCGGAUAGGAGCUCCUGCUGCAUGGUGGGGGUUGGAAAGUUUCGGCGGUUGGGGAUGGACUCGCGGCUUAUCAGCUUGUUGGUGGGGUAGUGGCUUACCAAGGCUUUGACGGGUAGCCGGCCUGAGAGGGUGACCGGCCACAUUGGGACUGAGAUACGGCCCAGACUCCUACGGGAGGCAGCGGUGGGGAAUAUUGCACAAUGGGCGGAAGCCUGAUGCAGCAACGCCGCGUGCGGGAUGACGGCCUUCGGGUCGUAAACCGCUUUCGCCUGUGACGAAGCGUGAGUGACGGUAAUGGGUAAAGAAGCACCGGCUAACUACGUG